rnacentral:tRNA from 1 species
GCCCAGAUGGCGGAAUUGGUAGACGCGCUAGCUUCAGGUGCUAGUGUCCUUACGGACGUGUCGGUUCGAGCCCGACUUUGGGCACCA